rnacentral:sRNA from 1 species
AAGCUUCUCAAAGCUUUCAUGGUGUAGCCAAAGUCCGUAUGAUUCUUUGGCUUUGAUCUUCUAACAAGGAAACACUUCUUAGGCUUAUAAGAUCGAGUUGCGGUUUAAGUUCUUAUACUCAAUCAUACACAUGACAUCAAGUCAUAAUCGAUUGCAAAACACUAACCAACCUUCUUCUUGCGCCUCA